AGUAGUCAUACGUUGAUGACAAAUUUGCUGAAUAAAUAAAUUGAGUCCAAAAUAGGCAUAUAUAGUCUAGUAGUAAUGCGCGUUCUACCAAUGGUAAAAUGUGUUUUAAAAUUUAUUGUUAAACUGAAUGUGUGAUACUUAAUUUAUCAAAAUAUAGAUAUAAAAUUGAGAAUGGAAAUGGGGAAUGGUCGAAUAGACAACAACCUGACCAAAGAGACAACAACCUGACCAAAGAGCGAACCCAGCCAAACGCCACCAUUUUGUCUUCAAUGCAGCGAGAAAAUCCCACACCUGGUGGCGCGCUUCACUUGACCCCUAAAGAAAUGCAUAUUGUAGUUCAGUGCUAAAGGACGUCAUACUAAUCGCCGAAAUAUAUAAAAGAAACUAAAAUAAAAAAAGUAAUGUAAAACUAAAAUAGGCCAGAGGCCGGGACAGGCGCAAAAGUGCGGCAGGUAAAACAUUUUCUAGAUAUGGUUAUCUUCGAUAUUCUAUAUGGAUAUGUUUUCAAUGAAUGUCAAAUAUCAAUAGCUUGAGUUACACGAUUACAACUUCAGAUACAUUAGUUUAUCUAAAUAACAAUAAGAUAGUUGUGAAUUGUCUUUCGGAUACUAUCAAAUUGCCAGAAUUCGUGUUGAUAGGGGCUAAGUGUUGUCAACAAAUUUAAAUCAAAUUGAUCGCCAUCUUCAACAUUUAUAAAACAGUACUGUAUCUGUUUAGUAUUGAUAUGCUAAGUAUCUAUGCCUCCGAAAAAUUAGGAAACUGAAUUGAACCAACGUUUAUCAAUUGUAUCACCUAUAUGAUACAUUUCGAUGCAACAAUCAACAAUAAUAUAUAAUAUAACCUACAAAUACAUUCACAAAA
rnacentral:lncRNA from 1 species